GGGGCUUUGGGACUGUGUAGCAGGUCUGUAGGUGGGCUGGGGUGUGGCUGCUCCCUGGGGAGAGCAGAGUGGGGCCCGUGAGGGGUGAGGUGUGUGGCGGGCAGGGGGCUGCAGGGCCAGCAGCCAGAGCAGGAUGUGUUUUUGCUGUGACUGUCCCAGAGCUUUGUGUGUCACAGGGUUUCCUGCCGGGGCUCAGCCCCACACGGGUGGGACUCGGUGGUUCCAUUCCUGAGGUGAGGGAGCGCCAGGUGGCUCGACCAGGAGGUGAUUCUGCAGGAUGGUGAGAGCUGCUCUUGCAGUUUGGUAAUUCCUGUGUGGUCUUUUUGGGUUAUCACAGAAUCAGAGGGGUUUGGGCUGAAAGGGACCAUGGAGACCCUCUCCUUCCACCCCCUGCCAGGGCAGGGACACCUUCCACUAUCCCAGGUUGCCCAAGCCCAGUCCAGCCUGGCCUUGAAUAUGUCCACAGCUUCUCUGGCUGUUUACCCUGCAGAAGUGGCCACAGCUUCUCUGGGCACCCUGUGCCAGGGCCUCCCACCCUCCCUAAUUCCCUAAUACCCCAUCUGACCUUUCCCUGUGCCUGUUGAAACCAUUCCCCCUUGUCCUGGCACUCCAUGCUCUUGUAAAAAUCCCCCCUCCAGCUUUCCUGUGGGUUAUAGAAAGCAGUUGUGCCUAACUGGAUGGUGAACAUGAAUAAAAUCCAUUUUUCAAAGUUAA